rnacentral:rRNA from 1 species
GUGAGGAAUAUUGGUCAAUGGACGAGAGUCUGAACCAGCCAAGUAGCGUGAAGGAUGACUGCCCUAUGGGUUGUAAACUUCUUUUAUACGGGAAUAAAGUGAGGCACGUGUGCCUUUUUGUAUGUACCGUAUGAAUAAGGAUCGGCUAACUCCGUGCCAGCAGCCGCGGUAAUACGGAGGAUCCGAGCGUUAUCCGGAUUUAUUGGGUUUAAAGGGAGCGUAGGCGGACGCUUAAGUCAGUUGUGAAAGUUUGCGGCUCAACCGUAAAAUUGCAGUUGAUACUGGGUGUCUUGAGUACAGUAGAGGCAGGCGGAAUUCGUGGUGUAGCGGUGAAAUGCUUAGAUAUCACGAAGAACUCCGAUUGCGAAGGCAGCUUGCUGGACUGUAACUGACGCUGAUGCUCGAAAGUGUGGGUAUCAAACAGGAUUAGAAACCCUAGUAGUCC